UACGGAGGGUGCAAGCGUUCAUCGGAAUUACUGGGCGUAAAGCGUGCGCAGGCGGUUGUGUAAGACAGAUGUGAAAUCCCCGGGCUCAACCUGGGAACUGCAUUUGUGACUGCACAGCUGGAGUGCGGCAGAGGGGGAUGGAAUUCCGCGUGUAGCAGUGAAAUGCGUAGAUAUGCGGAGGAACACCGAUGGCGAAGGCAAUCCCCUGGGCCUGCACUGACGCUCAUGCACGAAAGCGUGGGGAGCAAACAGG
rnacentral:rRNA from 1 species